UGUCAAAAACCAUCAAAAAUGUCAUAGUAUACUAAGGCGUCAAAAAAUGUCAUAGUAUACUAAGGCGUCAAAAACCAUCAAAAAUGUCAUAGUAUACUAAGGCGUCAGAAAUUAUCAAAAACUGUCAUAGUAUUGUAAGGUGUCAAAAACCAUCAAAAAUAUAGUAUAGCAAGGCAUCAAAAAGAUCAGAUCAGAUAUGUCAUAGUAUACUAAGGCAUCAAAAAUGGUCAAAAAAUGUCACAGUAAAGUAAGGUGUCAAAACCCAUCAAAAAAUAUAGUACAGCAAGGCAUCAAAAAUGUCAUAGUAUACUAAGGAGUAAAAAAUGGUCAAAAAAUGUCACAGUAAAGUAAGGCGUCAGAAAUGAUCAAAAAUGUCAUAAUAUACUAAUGCGUCAAAAAUGGUCAAAAAAUGUCACAGUAAAGUAAGGCAUCAAAAACCAUCAAAAUGUCAUAGUAUACUAAGGUGUCAGCAAUCAUCAAGAAAUGUCACAGUAAGGUGUCAAAAAUGGUCCAAAAAUGUCACAGUAAAGUAAGGCAUCAGAAAUCAGCAAAAAAUGUCACAGUAAAGUAAGGUGUCAAAAAUGGUCAAAAACUGUCAUAGUAAAGUAAGGUGUCAGAAAUCAGCAAAAAAUUUCACAGUAAAGUAAGGCGUCAGAAAUCAUCAAAAAAUGUCACAGUAAAGUAAGGUGUCAAAAAUGGUCAAAAACUGUCAUAGUAAAGUAAGGCGUCAGAAAUCAGCAAAAAAUUUCACAGUAAAGUGUCAAAAAUGGUCAAAAAAUGUCAUAGUAUAGUAAUGUGUCAAAACCCAUCAAAAAAUAUAGUACAGCAAGGCAUCAAAAAUGUCAUAGUAUACUAAGGAGUAAAAAAUGGUCAAAAAAUGUCACAGUAAAGUAAGGCGUCAGAAAUGAUCAAAAAUGUCAUAAUAUACUAAUGCGUCAAAAAUGGUCAAAAAAUGUCAUGGUAUAGCAAGGCAUCAAAAACCAUCAAAAAUGUCAUAGUAUACUAAGGUGUCAGAAAUGAUCAAAAACUGUCAUGGUGUAGUAAGGCAUGAAAAAUGGUCCAAAAAUGUUAUAGUAUAGAAAGGUGUCAAAAACCAUCAAAAAUGUCAUAGUAUACUAAGGCGUCAAAAAAUGUCAUAGUAUACUAAGGCGU